AAGACUUUAAGUUAAUCACAAACUAUUAAUCUUCAAAAUUAAUUAUAAAGAACACUAAUCUUUAAAUCUUA
rnacentral:tRNA from 1 species